UGCGUAGGCGGCUUUCUAAGUCGGAUGUGAAAACUCUGGGCUCAACCCAGAGCCUGCAUCUGAAACUGGAGAGCUAGGGUUCUGGAGGGGAAAGCGGAAUUCCUGGUGUAGCGGUGAAAUGCGUAGAUAUCAGGAGGAACACCGGUGGCGAAGGCGGCUUUCUGGACAGAUACCGACGCUGAGGCACGAAAGGCUGGGGAGCAAACA
rnacentral:rRNA from 1 species